CUCAGAACGAACGCUGGCGGCAUGCCUAACACAUGCAAGUCGAACGAACCCUUCGGGGUUAGUGGCGCACGGGUGCGUAACGCGUGGGGAUCUGCCCAAAGGUUCGGAAUAACUCAGAGAAAUUUGAGCUAAUACCGGAUAAUGUCUUCGGACCAAAGAUUUAUUGCCUUUGGAUGAACCCGCGUAGGAUUAGCUUGUUGGUGGGGUAAAGGCCUACCAAGGCGACGAUCCUUAGCUGGUCUGAGAGGAUGAUCAGCCACACUGGGACUGAGACACGGCCCAGACUCCUACGGGAGGCAGCAGUGGGGAAUAUUGGACAAUGGGCGAAAGCCUGAUCCAGCAAUGCCACGUGAGUGAUGAAGGCCUUAGGGUUGUAAAGCUCUUUUACCAGGGAUGAUAAUGACAGUACCUGGAGAAUAAGCUCCGGCUAACUCCGUG
rnacentral:rRNA from 1 species